GGGCCUGUAGCUCAGGUGGUUAGAGCGCACCCCUGAUAAGGGUGAGGUCGGACGUUCG
rnacentral:tRNA from 1 species